AUCGGUGUGCCAAUCAAGCAAAGGAACAAGGAACUUCCGAAUAUGGCCUAACUGGGGGCACAUAACAUAACCUAAUCCUAAUAUUUACAUUUGUAAAGAAUAUCCUGUUUGUUUUUAUUGUCGAUUGUGCAGCGAAAUUGUGAUAGCAAAUCAAAUAUAAAGUAGUUUAUCGCCUACAGAACUGAAUUAGUCCAUAGCAGUUAUCAGUUUUUCUUUCUUGGGAAGCUUAUACAUGUAACUUUUAUUGUUGUAAAUUGUGGGAGUAGGGCAGACAGGGAAAAGUCUUAUUUUGUACUGUUCCCAAGGCUCCCCAUGCAAUACAUUUAAAUGAAUUAUCCAAACAAAGCCGGGGACAAUGGAUAAAAGCCACAAGAAGAACAGAUAUAAGGGAACUAAAAUUAAAAUAUGAAAAGUAAACAUUUUAUAAGUGGAACAACCACCAGAUAUUUAAAAGGUAUAAAAAGAAGAAACUGCUGGAAUUUCAAAACAAAUGUGUUUGACUAGUAAAGAUUUGGAUAAAUAACAGGAGUUACUUUGGGCUAUAGCUACGUGCAGAUUUAUUUCCUUGUGGCUUCCUAUGUUAAUUCUUAUUAAUUAUACACUUAAAUAUGUUUUUAGUCUCAGGAAGAUUUUAUAUUUGAUUAUUUUUGAAUAAACAUUAUUAUUAUUAUUACCUUAAUUUCCAUUAAAUAAAUUUACUGUAAUCAAUAAAGUAAUCGUUUAAUUGUUAAUAAAUUAUCAAGUAUGAUUCCCAAA